rnacentral:lncRNA from 1 species
AUGGAUUUAUCUAAACAACAACAAAAGAAAAACUCCUAAAACUUUCCAAAAUAUAUUCAAUAAAGCCCAUCCUUAAACCACAUACAUUAGGACAACUCGGUAAAAGAUAGACACAGAGUCCUGCAAGCAACGACCGAAACAACCAAAGCUGCCAAAUAUCAGAGAAGACAUCAUAAGCUAAUGUAGAAGUUUUUCAUACCUUGAUUGUCGAGUAAUUCAGUCUUAGACAUCCUUAAGGCAAAAUGAGGUCAACAGCUUUGUAUAUGAACAUCAUGGUGCAAUAGGCUCCUGUACAAAGUCCAGCUGUCCUUGCUCUCCGAUCAUUGGCCAUUGAUCAAUGUCAGGCUG